AAUUCUCAACCUUUAUCAACUUUUUAAGUAGAUAAAUGGCUUGGAUGUGGGGGUUGCCGGUUUCUCUUUUGAAAUCAGCUCUCCUGAAAUAUAUUAGCUGGUUGCCUUGUGUAAACCUGUCUAUUGGUGUGAUAAUUAUCUACGCCGUGGACUAUUUACCGUUUUUAAGCACUGCUUCUAACCGUCUGUUCAUUCGGACAAUCUCUGACA
rnacentral:misc_RNA from 1 species